rnacentral:rRNA from 1 species
GAUGAACGCUAGCGGCAGGCUUAAUACAUGCAAGUCGAGGGGCAGCAUGAUUGUAGCAAUACAAUUGAUGGCGACCGGCAAACGGGUGCGGAACACGUACACAACCUUCCAACAAGUGGGGGAUAGCCCAGAGAAAUUUGGAUUAAUACCCCGUAACAUAGCGAUGUGGCAUCACAUUGCUAUUAUAGAUUUUUCGCUUGUUGAUGGGUGUGCGGCUGAUUAGAUAGUUGGCGGGGUAACGGCCCACCAAGUCUACGAUCAGUAGCUGAUGUGAGAGCAUGAUCAGCCACACGGGCACUGAGACACGGGCCCGACUCCUACGGGAGGCAGCAGUAAGGAAUAUUGGACAAUGGACGCAAGUCUGAUCCAGCCAUGCCGCGUGAAGGAUUAAGGUCCUCUGGAUUGUAAACUUCUUUUAUAAGGGACGAAAAAAGGCUUUUCUAAGUCGCCUGACGGUACCUUAUGAAUAGCACCGGCUAACUCCGUGCCAGCCGCCGCCGUAAAAC